rnacentral:lncRNA from 1 species
UUAACUCCAGUCUCUAAAUAUGAUAGAUGACAAGAUUAAUUAGUUAAAAAAAAUAGAACCUCCAAAUCGCGCUCCCCCCUUACAGACAAAAUCCCUAGCGAAGUGAAGUUCGAGCAAACGCAACCACGGAGUGAAUCGAAAUGAAGGAAACGUCUGAUCGCGAAUCAAAGUGAAGGCCAGCUUGACCGCGAGCGAAGUGAAGGCCUGUCAGUGAGCGAAAUCGCGAGUGAAGGCCGGUCCCUGACAGCGAGCGAAGUGAAGGCUUGUUAGCGAGUGAAAUCGCGAGUUGAAGACCGGUCACUGACCGCGAGUGAGCCUUGGUGGCGAUCGAUCGAGAAAGAGUGACUGGAAGAGAGCGAGCGAGAAGUGGGGAGCGAGCGAGGUCACCCCAGAUCAGCUGCACUCCACGCCUUGCCUCCAAAUCAGAUCUUCUCCCUAACCUCUUUUUUAACCGGAUCAAAUGACCUCGGCUCCACGCCUGACUACAAGCGAGCGAACACCCAGUGACCGCGAGUGAGAUCCUUCUGCGAGCAAUAGUUCACCCACCUCCCGCAGGAUCACGUCCACUUCCGACGAGCGACAGAUACAACUACCAGAAGAUAGGAGAAAAUCUCGUUAUUGGUUUUUGACCUACAAGGCGAGAACUAGCACGCUACAUCUAUUCCAUACAUCUUAUCUACUUUUAGUUGUUUAGUUAAUUGGUUUGUAAUCUCUUUAUUUUUUAUUUAAUCUAAAUCGCCUUUUAAAAAAAAAAAAGUUAAUAAUGUCAACAUUUUUUUAGCACGCCUUUUAACUUAAUUAAUCGUUAGAGCGAAAUUAUAUAAUAUAUUAUUGGUUAUAUCGUAGUGAAAAUUAUGUAAACAAUGAGAC